GACUCACUGCAGGGUGCUAUCAGUAUCACCAUUACUUUAUUUAAUGAGUGCCCUGUCUAUUUGCACCCCCCUUGACAGCUUGUGUCCAUAUCAUUCAUUCAUUGUCAGCCUACCAUCAGCAUAGCGGGAAAGGCAUCUCUGGCUGCUGCCUCAUGACAGCCUGGUGCCAUGGGUAACAUCUGUUCUGCAUUGUCCCAUCACUGUUGUGUCUGUUCUCAUUGCAGCACCAGCGACUGCAAAACUACUGCAGCUGAUGCUGUCACAGUAUUUCUCCCACAGAAAGUGAUGUUUCUUUUGAUCUUGAGUAAAGACAACCAUUUGGCACAGGGGAGGAAGAAAAAGAGAUACUGAUUCACAUAGAUCCUCUCUGUGGAAAAUGUCAAGGAAGUUCUGGUGCAAGGCAAAUGGAGAGGCAGUCUCUUGCCCGGGAGUGCAAUAAAGCAGAGCCUGCAGCUUCCACAAGGCAGGACUUGAAUGCUUCUGAAGAAAGUCUCCUGUUUGUGGUCAGCAGUUCACCAUCAUGCUGCCUGCUUCCACAUGUAUGGGGUGGAUGCUAUGGAGCAUGUGGAGAAGACUGUGGUGGAGCUGGCUGCCCCCCUGAUGCCCAUGGAAGACCAUGAUGGAGUGGAUACCCACAAUGCAACAACCUGUGGAGGAGCCCUGAAGGAAGCUGCAGCUUGUGGAGAGCCCACACACGAGUGGGUUCCUGGUGGGAGCUGUGGCUGUGUGGAGAGGAGCCCAUGUAGGAGCAGACUUCCUCAUGGGAAUUGUGGCCUGUGGGGGACCCAUGCUGGGGCAGUCUGUUUCUGAAGAACUGCACCCAUGGAAAGGACUCACGCGAGAGCAGUUUUUGAACUGUGGCUUAUGGGAGGGCUCCCACACUGGAGCACGGCAUGAGUGUGAGGAAGGAGCCAGACAUUAUGAACUGACAGCACCCACCCAUUUUCCAUCCACCUGCACCACUUGGGGCUGGAGAGGAGGUAGAAGAAUCAAGAGUGAAGUUGGGCCUGGUAAGAAGGGAAUUGAAGGUGUGUGCGUAUGUUUAAUAAAUUGAUGGUACAUUAAAUUAAUUUUCCCAAGUUGAGUCUGUUUUGUCCAUGAUGGU